rnacentral:rRNA from 1 species
GACCUGCGGAAGGAUCAUUAUCGAGUUUGAAGUGGGCUUGAUGCUGGCGUCGCUCCAGACGCAUGUGCUCGGCCCCGCUCAUCCACUCAACCCCUGUGCACUUCGUCGGAGUCAAUGGGUCGCGCUUGCGGCUUUUGGCUUUGACUUAUCAUUUACAAACGCUUUACUUGUCAUGUAGAAUGUAAUGCCUCUUGUUGGGCGAAAUUAAAUACAACUUUCAACAACGGAUCUCUUGGCUCUCGCAUCGAUGAAGAACGCAGCGAAAUGCGAUAAGUAAUGUGAAUUGCAGAAUUCAGUGAAUCAUCGAAUCUUUGAACGCACCUUGCGCUCCUUGGCAUUCCGAGGAGCAUGCCUGUUUGAGUGUCAUGUUAAUCUCAAUCCCCUGGGUUUGUUAUGAACUCUUGAGAUUGGACUUGGAGGUACUGCUGGCUUCACCGUCGGCUCCUCUUGAAUGUAUUAGCUGGGCCUUUAGCCUCGCGCUCGUGGUGUGAUAGUUUAUUCACCUUGAGUGUGGCUUGUAUGGUCUGCUUCUAAUCGUCUUAACAAGACAAAUACCUUGACUCUCUGACCUCAAAUCAGGUAGGACUACCCGCUGAACUUAAGCAUAUCAAUAAGCGGAAGGAA